UGUAAAGUGACAGCGGAUGUGACAGCGGCUCAUGACAGCGGACAGUAUUAAACGAAAAUUAUCGGUGUGCCAAUCAAGCAAAGGGACAAGGAACUUCCGAAUAUGGCCUAACUGGGGGCACAUAAAAUAACAUAACCUAAUCCUAAUAUUUACAUUUGUAAAGAAUAUCCUGUUUGUUUUUAUUGUCGAUUGUGCAGCGAAAUUGUGUGCAGCAAAUCAAAUAUAAAGUAGUUUAUCGCCUACAGAACUGAAUUAGUCCAUAGCAGUUAUCAGUUUUUCUUUCUUGGGAAGCUUAUACAUGUAACUUGUAUUGUUGUAAAUUGUGGGAGUAGGGCAGACAGGGAAAAGUCUUAUUUUGUACUGUUCCCAAGGCUCCCCAUGCAAUACAUUUAAAUGAAUUAUCCAAACAAAGCUGGGAACAAUGGAUAAAAGCCACAAGAAGAACAGAUAUAAGGGAACUAAAAUUAAAAUAUGAAAAGUAAACAUUUUAUAAGUGGAACAACCACCAGAUAUUUAAAAGGUAUAAAAAGAAGAAACUGCUGGAAUUUCAAAACAAAUGUGUUUGACUAGUAAAGAUUUGGAUAAAUAACAGGAGUUACUUUGGGCUAUAUAGAAAGGUUUAGUAGAUCAGGAUGAACAACUUCCAGCUGCCAGAGCAAAACCACAUUUCGGUGCAAUCUACUGGAUUGUAGACCAAGAUGCUGGAGUCAAUAUAAAGAAUAAAGUUUAAUUUAUAUAUAGGUAUUUUUAUACAUUGUUAAUGUUUUAAAAUAAAUAAGAAACAAUUUUU